CCCCCCUUCGCUCCUGCCCCUUCCUCGCCUCUCCUCUCUAUCUUCUGCGGCGGCGGCGCCGACUCCGCGUGAUUCCUCCUCCCCUGCUCGACUCCUCCUCCUCCCCCCUGAUUAGGGUUUCAGACGGCGGCGGCGCCCUCCACCGUCUGGUCCUUCCCCGCGCCCUCUUCAUCCUUCAGUGCCGCCUCCAGGUCACCGUUGCCGUCGCCCCUACGAACUCCGAGCACGCACGCGUGAGGCCUCCACCACCACCCACCGCAAUACCCCCGGUCCCUCCCUCUCUCCUGUCGUCUCUAACUCCCACCACCCAUUGGUUUUUUCGCCUCCCAACCCGCAGAACGACUGCGGCUCCUCUCUCGAUAGAACUACACCCUCGAUCUAUCUCCUAGGGCGUGUACGCCGCACCCAUCGCGGAACUCUACGCCGCCAACGUCUUGCUACUCCGCCAACCGCCGCCGCGAACUCCGAGACCGCCGCCGCCGCCAUUGUGGAACCCCAGGCCACGGCAUUCUCAGAUUCCCAUGUGCGGCCGGUGGAGCAUGUGAGGCGAGCGCUUUAAUCAAAUCCAGGUUCCUAUGUCCGUUCAUAUAUACUACGAGUAUGAUACUGAUGGAUCAUCUGAUAUAAAAAUCUUCAUUCACUAAUGCAUAUGCGUUCAUUGUUAUUGCGAGGGAUACAAUUUUUGGAGAAGGGAUGGAGAUGGUGCCAUGGUGGAGGCUGCUGCCCAUCUAUGUGCUUGUCGAGUCAGACAUGCCCCUCUACAGGAAGUACCUCUCCGGGUACUACAUCAGCAAUCCUCCCGAAUCCAUCGAUGUGCAGCAGAUCGUGACGCCAUCCGCAUGGACGAACGAGAAUGGCCGCUUGAUUCCUCUUGCCCACUUGUGUCACGAGAUGGAGACCAAGCUCAUGGCUCAGUGCGGCCAGAGGCACAAUCAACAAUUGACUGACAUUGACUCACAGUGAGAUAGAACUAAGUAACAAAAUCAAGAUGCGUGCGUACGACAUCAUAGCUGGAAAGGCGAAUGUUUCGGUGUGUAUGCCGCUGCCACUGAUCUUAUGAAACGAUGCAUGGUUAAUCUGAAGUGUAUCGCCAAAGAGGCAGAGUUGAUGUGCGAGCAUAUGUGCAUGUGUACUUGUGUGUGUUAGCAGGCAGGAGCCCACCGCCGUGCCUGCCGGCGGCAUCGCCCAUGGCCGAGAAGACCGAGGACACCGAGGACCCAACGCCCUCAAGUACGAUGGCGUUGUACCGUCCUUUCUGCUGCGACUUAUGUUGACAAGUUUUGAGAUCGAUCUGAAUCUACAUAUGACCGUGAUCGGGAGGCGAACCCGGUUGCGCUUAGAGACAGUUGAAUAAUGGAGAUCCUCCAGCCACCGAGCUCCUCAAGGACACCUAAGUGCCUUCGUGCUAAGAGUUCAAGGGACUGUCCCCUCUCACCUAAGACAAGGUACAGUUUUUGAUCUGUCUUACACAUUUCUUCUGCUCAUGUACUAAUGUAAAGGUUUCACAAGGUAUGUUGGUUAUGUGGGCAUUCGUAUGAAGUUAUGUGAGCAUGCGCUAGGUAUGAAAAGUUUUGUUUUAGUUGAUUGACAUUGAGGAUUAAAAACCUUAAAUGUGCCAUCAUGUUUUUAGGCGGUGUGCUCCAGGUUUGGCAAAUAUUAACUAACACUACAUGAACAUGAAGAUAAUCUUGGUGCCGGGCAAGCCUCACAUAGAGUGUACACCACCAUGGGCGAUGUGCUCUUCACCAUGGCUUGGCGCUCGCUGCUGCCAUCCCUUGAAAGUGAUAUGACCUCCACGAGCACAAUAAAACCUCAAAACCCGUAGCAACGCACGGGCGUUCUACUAGUGGUUGUAAGAAUCCACCUGCACGUGGAAGAUGAUGAGAGGGUCUGACAGUGGAGCUGCUUGAGAUCCAGCCUAAUCAUAUAUUCUGGGCUGGUGGUCCUGGUGAACAUACCCCUGUUUCCAGCCACUUCAUUCACGGCCAUGGGACAUUUGGUAUGACAUCAUUUAUCGAGAAAUUUUUAGAGAAUGAGCCUUCUAUUAAUGUGAAGACUCAGAUGCUCUUUGGCCACCUAGAGUCACUCAAUCAUCUGGAUUGUUCUUCAUUAACAGGCCACUGGCAGAUCCACCAUUCCAGCCAUAUAGCAAUGACCUACAUAGUGUGCAUAGGUUUUUUGGCGCGGGACGGCAGCAAGUCUUUCUCUAUGGGAGCGGCUGUCCUCCGACUGUGUGAAAUCCCAACUGCAAAACAUGGCGUAAAAGCUGAAAAAGAAGACAAGGGAGCCGCCGCUACUGAUGUGGCCAGACCCAGGCUGAUUGAGUCGGGGGCAGGGGCUAAUCUACUGGGGGGCUUUAACAGGCUCAAGUCCCCCUCCAGCACUGUAAAAUUUGUAUCUACUACUAAUUUUAAGGCCCAGCCCAGCUACUUGCAGGCCCAGUUCAACACAUAUUUGCAUGACCCAGGCAGCCCAGCCCCCCCUCCAUUUUUUUUCUAGCUGCGGUUAUGUAAUAUGUGUGUGGGAGCUCUGAUAGUUUCAGAUUUGUAUCUGUGCUGCUAGAGUCGCUGCAUUAGUUUACCUCUGUUUGUUUCAGUUUCUUUUGUUAUGUCCUACUAGUUUUAUUUAGUCCUUGUUGAGGUAGCGGUGGGGCUGUCCUCCGCGUGCUGAAUUGGUGUUUGUAAGACAAUUUGGUUUCUUUGCUAUGCAAUGGAACCGGAGCCCUGGUGCUCUUUUCCUCGAAAAAAUGUAUAUUAAGUAGUA